UACGUAGGGGGCAAGCGUUGUCCGGAAUUAUUGGGCGUAAAGAGCGUGUAGGCGGUCCGGUAAGUCGGCUGUGAAAGUCCAGGGCUCAACCCUGGGAUGCCGGUCGAUACUGUCGGACUAGAGUCCGGAAGAGGCGAGUGGAAUUCCCGGUGUAGCGGUGAAAUGCGCAGAUAUCGGGAGGAACACCAAUGGCGAAGGCAGCUCGCUGGGACGGUACUGACGCUGAGGCGCGAAAGCGUGGGGAGCGAACAGG
rnacentral:rRNA from 1 species